rnacentral:rRNA from 1 species
AUACGGAAGGUCCGGGCGUUAUCCGGAUUUAUUGGGUUUAAAGGGAGCGCAGGCGGAGAUGCAAGCGUGACGUCAAAUUUCGGGGCUCAACCCCGUCUCGCGUCGCGAACUGCGUCCCUUGGUUGCGGGAAGGGGAGGCGGAACUCGUGGUGUAGCGGGGAAAUGCAUAGAUAUCACGAAGAACUCCGAUCGCGAAGGCAGCCUUCCGGCCCGUCAACGACGCUCAUGCUCGAAGGUGCGGGUAUCAAACAGGAUUAGAUACCCUGGUAGUCCGCACAGUAAACGAUGGACACCCGCGGUUUGGCCUAUAUGGCUGAGCCGCCAAGCGAAAGCGUUAAGUGUCCCACCUGGGGAGUACGCCGGCAACGGUGAAACUCAAAGGAAUUGACGGG